GACGAACGCUGGCGGCGUGCCUAAUACAUGCAAGUCGAGCGAGCGGCGGACGGGUGAGUAAUACGUAAGGAACCUACCGAUAAGCGGGGGACAACAUCCGGAAACGGGUGCUAAUACCGCAUAGUUAUCGAUGGCCUUGCGGUGCAUUAGCUCGUUGGUGGGGUAACGGCCUACCAAGGCAAUGAGGCAUAGCCGGCCUGCGAGGGUAAUCGGCCACAUUGGGACUGAGACACGGCCCAAACUCCUACGGGAGGUAGCAGUAGGGAAUCUGCCGCAAUGGGCGCAAGCCUGACGGAGCAACGCCGCGUGAGUGAAGAAGGUUUUCGGAUCGUAAAGCUCUGUUGUAAGAGAAGCGGUAUCUUACCAGAAAGCCACGGCUAACUACGUGCCAGCAGCCGCGGUAAUUC
rnacentral:rRNA from 1 species